UAACAGAGAGUUUGAUCCUGGCUCAGAUUGAACGCUGGCGGAUCUUUACAUGCAAGUCGAACGGCAGCACGGACUUCGGUCUGGUGGCGAGUGGCGAACGGGUGAGUAAUGUAUCGGAACGUGCUAUUGUUUGGGGAUAACUACGCGAAAGCGUAGCUAAUACCACAUACGCCCUUCUGAGGGGAAAGCAGGGGACCUUCCCGGGCCUCGCACUAUUAGAGCAGCCGAUAUCGGAUUAGCUAGUUGGUGGGAGUAACGGCUCACCAAGGCGACGAUCCGUAGCUGGUUUGAGAGGACGACCAGCCACACUGGGACUGAGACACGGCCCAGACUCCUACGGAGAACGGCGGUGGGGAAUUUUGGACAAUGGGGAAACCUGAUCCAGCCAUCCCGCGUGUGCGAUGAAGGCCUUCGGGUUGUAAAGCACUUUUGGCAGGAAAGAAACGGCACGGGAUAAUACCCAACUGACGGUACCUGCAGAAUAAGCACCGGCUAACUACGUGCCAGCAGCCGCGGUAAUACGUAGGGUGCAAGCGUUAAUCAGAUUACUGGGCGUAAAAUGCGCAGGCGGUUCGGAAGAAAGAUGUAGAAAUCCCAGAAACAACUUUGGAACUGCAUUUUUAACUACCGAGCUAGAGUGUCGGGGAGGUGGAAUUCACGCGUGUAGCAGUGAAAUGCGUAGAUAUGCGGAGGAGGAAUUACGAUGGCGAAGGCAGCCUCCUGGGAUAACACUGACGCUCAUGCACGAAAGCGUGGAGCAAACAGGAUUAGAUACCCUGGUAGUCCGCCUAAACGAUGUCAACUAGCUGUUGGGGCCUUCGGGCCUUGGUAGCGCAGCUAACGCGUGAAGUUGACCGCCUGGGAAGUACAGUCGCAAGAUUAAAACUCAAAGGAAUUGACGGGGACGCACAAGCGGUGGAUGAUGUGGAUUAAUUCGAUGCAACGCGAAAAACCUUACCUACCCUUGACAUGUCUGGAAUCCCGAAGAGAUUUGGGAGUGCUCGCAAGAGAACCGGAACACAGGUGCUGUGGUAUCGUCAGCUCGUGUCGUGAGAUGUUAGGUUAAGUCCCGCAACGAGCACAACCCUUGUCAUUAGUUGCUACGAAAGGGCACUCUAAUGAGACUGCCGGUGACAAACCGGAGGAAGGUGGGGAUGACGUCAAGUCCUCAUAGCCCUUAUGGGUGGGGCUUCACGUCAUACAAUGGUCGGGACAGAGGGGUCGCCAACCCGCGAGAGGCCAGAAACCCGAUCGUAGUCCGGAUCGCAGUCUUCUGCAGCUGCUGACUGCGUGAAGUCGGAAUCGCUAAUCGCGGAUCAGCAUGUCGCGGUGGUCGUUCCCGGGUCUUGUACACACACCGCCCGUCACACCAUGGGAGUGGGUUUGCAAGUAGUUAUGGCCCUAACCGUAAGGAGGGCGAUUACCACGGUGAUUCAUGACUGGGGUGAAGUCGUAACAAGGUAG
rnacentral:rRNA from 1 species